rnacentral:lncRNA from 10 species
AGAAGAGAUUAGGUAACUGCCCAAGGCUUCCCAGCUGGUAUGUGGUAGAGCUGAGAUUCAUUUACUUGGCCUUGAAGAGCUCCUGUAUCCAAAAGGAAGGUGACCUUGCUUUAAUGCAAGUAAAUUCUAUUCCUGCCAUGAUCUGACUUGCGGGACAUGUGAUUGUGGCUGUUUUUCAGUGGCAAUGAUGGAAUUUCAGUGAGUACCUGGCAGGAUUUCAGAGCUAACCUGUGGCUAUGAAACAGCCAAGCCGAGUGACCAGCGGUUUUGGUGUUACUAGAAAGUUUUGCUGGCUGGACUGUAAACUCAUACUCAAGUCCUCCAAGCAUCCAGGGCUUGGGAGAACAGAAGUGGGAGUGCUGAUCCUCAGCAAUAAAGAUGGCAGCCUGGCUUUCAUGAGAGCUGAGAAGGAAUAGAGGUCCCCCAUGGAAUCCUUCAGU